GCCGGGCGUGGUGGCUCACGCCUGUAAUCCCAGCACUCUGGGAGGCUGAGGCAGGUGAAUCACCUGAGAUCAGGAGUUCGAGACCAGCCUGGCCAACAUGGUGAAACCCCGUCUCUA
rnacentral:SRP_RNA from 2 species